rnacentral:lncRNA from 1 species
CCAUUCUUGCUUGUAUUUCUGUUUGUGUACGAGUAAAACAAUUACUGUAUGUGUGUGUGUGUGUGUGUGUGUGUGUGUGUGUGUGUGUGUGUGUAUACAGGGUGGUGCAUGCUGUAGCAAACAUGUGUAGGUCAGAGGAGGAACUGCAGGAGUUUAUUCUCCCUUCCCCCAUAUGGGCCCUGAGGAUUGAACUCAGGUCAUCAGGCUUGGUGGCAAGUGCUUUUGCCUUUAAAGCCAUCUUUGUGGCUGUAUGUAUAAGAAAAUGUUUUCACUAUACUUCACUCAUUGUGUGUAUGUGUGUGGGGAUGGGGGGUGUCAGGGAGCACAUUUAAAAAAAAGAUUUAUUUGAAUAUUUUUAAUUGUGUAUACCUGAGUGUGAGUAGAGUCCAGGUGCCUGCAGAGGCCAGGAGAGGUCAUUGGAUACCCUGAUCCUGAAGUUUCAGGUUUGGGUUACUGACUUGGGUUCUGGGACCGGGACUUGUGUCCUCUGUAAGAGCGCACUGAGCGUCCCUCCAGCUUCGGCACACAUUUAAAAGUCAGUUGUCACAGAGCAUUAUUAAACUUCAGUGUCACAAGCAAAACGUACUUUUAACAAGCUAUUUACAACACUGUGGUUGAGUUAGUAUCUUGUUAGAAUACUGUCCUUGGAAAAGGCAGUGGGGAUUUUAUCUUUCAAAUAUUUAAAACCUAAAAGGAAACAGAAUACAAAUUAACAUGGCAUAAAA